GAUGAACGCUGGCGGCGUGCCUAAUACAUGCAAGUCGAGCGAACAGAUGAGGAGCUUGCUCCACUGACGUUAGCGGCGGACGGGUGAGUAACACGUGGAUAACCUACCUAUAAGACUGGGAUAACUUCGGGAAACCGGAGCUAAUACCGGAUAAUAUAUUGAACCGCAUGGUUCAAUAGUGAAAGACGGUUUUGCUGUCACUUAUAGAUGGAUCCGCGCCGCAUUAGCUAGUUGGUAAGGUAACGGCUUACCAAGGCAGCGAUGCGUAGCCGACCUGAGAGGGUGAUCGGCCACACUGGAACUGAGACACGGUCCAGACUCCUACGGGAGGCAGCAGUAGGGAAUCUUCCGCAAUGGGCGAAAGCCUGACGGAGCAACGCCGCGUGAGUGAUGAAGGUCUUCGGAUCGUAAAACUCUGUUAUUAGGGAAGAACAAAUGUGUAAGUAACUAUGCACGUCUUGACGGUACCUAAUCAGAAAGCCACGGCUAACUACGUG
rnacentral:rRNA from 1 species